rnacentral:rRNA from 1 species
AGACCCGAAACCCGGUGAUCUAGCCAUGGGCAGGUUGAAGGUUGGGUAACACUAACUGGAGGACCGAACCGACUAAUGUUGAAAAAUUAGCGGAUGACCUGUGGCUGGGGGUGAAAGGCCAAUCAAACCGGGAGAUAGCUGGUUCUCCCCGAAAGCUAUUUAGGUAGCGCCUCGUGAAUUCAUCUCCGGGGGUAGAGCACUGUUUCGGCUAGGGGGCCAUCCCGGCUUACCAACCCGAUGCAAACUGCGAAUACCGGAGAAUGUUAUCACGGGAGACACACGGCGGGUGCUAACGUCCGUCGUGAAGAGGGAAACAACCCAGACCGCCAGCUAAGGUCCCAAAGUCAUGGUUAAGUGGGAAACGAUGUGGGAAGGCCCAGACAGCCAGGAUGUUGGCUUAGAAGCAGCCAUCAUUUAAAGAAAGCGUAAUAGCUCACUGGUCGAGUCGGCCUGCGCGGAAGAUGUAACGGGGCUAAACCAUGCACCGAAGCUGCGGCAGCGAACGUAUCACCCAAGACAACUUUACGGAGUUGGCGAUUGACGGAGCGAAGCGACGUCAAAGCGUUCAUUAAAGUCGAGUUGGCUUAGGGAUACGUUCGUUGGGUAGGGGAGCGUUCUGUAAGCCUGUGAAGGUGUGUCGUGAGGCAUGCUGGAGGUAUCAGAAGUGCGAAUGCUGACAUAAGUAACGAUAAAGCGGGUGAAA